CGUCAUUUCUAAGAUGGCGAGGAUAUUGAUGACACGUAGAAUUUUCUCGCGAUUGAAUAUAAAAUUUGUGAUGUUUUUUAAAAUGUUCAGUGUAUGAGUAUGUGUAUAUGUGUGUUUGUGCUGUGAGCUGAUUGCUGCAUAUGGACUGAUAUUUAGCCGAUAGCAACGUGAAAUAUCAGCGAUCCAUCUCGGUGCGCGCGCAUAAUUAGACUGAGUUAUCGGCGCCAGAUUCGGGGACAAUGGCUGUAUAAAUAUUCUCGUCGGGAGCGGUCCACGUACGUGGGCAGAUGCGUCUUGCGGAUACAGGGUGGUCCUGACUAAAUGCAACGUGGAUCAGAACAAGGCCGACUCGUAACGAGCGCGUCGCGAAGCGCCUGUUACGGCCACGCUUGAUGCACGACGAUCUGUCGCGUUUUUGACGCGAGUCGUUACUUGCCACUUCUCAGGCCAUCGCCGAAUUCCCUUGCGUUUCGUGUACGCGUUGCGAUUCCACGAUCUUUCGUCGAUCCUUGUCAACUAGCAAUUCUUCUAACCAGCGAAAUAAUAGUGUCUCACGUGUCUUCAAUAAAUCCAAGAUAUUAACGGAUCAAAGACCUGUGGUAUUCUUGUAAGUAGUCCUGCAAAGUAUUACUCUGUUUAUUAGAGUGCUGAGAAGAACUUAAAAACUUGAAAUAGGUUGAAAAUAAUCUGCUGAGAAAACAAUCGUUUACUAAGUCUACUACUUCUUAAAAACAAGUUACGCUAUCAAAAACUCUGUGUUUGCAAUCUUCAAGAUGUUAAAAGUUAUGUAAAAAUCUAAUUCCAUUCUCGCAACGAGAACCACCAACGAGAUAGUGAACUGAUCGACACAUGGAAGAAAGAAAAGCUGCAAGCAUUAAUAAACGUGCAACACGACAUCGUAAGUGGGAUGGUAACUCAUGCUGGGACCGGAAGAAGAACGCGGUUAUAAAAUAAAUGUAACGAGUCCUGUUCGAUAGUAAAAGGCUAAUGAGAAUAGCACCUUUGAUGAACACCUCCUGGAUUCUGACCAGUGAAUGCGCAGUACGAAUUUAGGAGACUAAAUCCAGAAGAUGGCAAGAAAAGAGAAAAAUCAGGUCCAAAAGUCAGAAUAACUGUUCAAGAAACGUGAUUCUGCUUCAAAACAAGAGUUUCGUUUCGACAAAAAGAUACGCUGCAACGACAGCGACUACGCUUGAAAACAAGAGUUUCCUUCAAGCAAAGAAUACAGAACCUUAUUAGGAAAUGGACCAAAUGCGCUUCGGAACUUCAGGGAGAUUAUGCAAGAAACUGACCCACAUUUCAAUCGCGAAAUUAACAAAUGCAAAGAUACAUAGAAUAUGUUAAAAUAUGAAAAAUAUACAAAGCAGCAGUAUAAAUCUUUGUUUAGGUGCCAUUUCUUUGAAAUUGUGUUUGUAUCUAUAAAGAUACGAUCUUUGAUACUCAUUCCAUCUUACGAUACUUUCUGUGAAACAAGGAAGAGAAGAUCGAAAUUCGAAUGACAGCCUGAGUUUCCGAGGAAGUACAUUCGAUUAACCGCAAAAAUCACGACCAAUGAUGGCGAGUGUCAACGUAAGGGAGAUAAUGCCCAGAUACGUAUCGAGCAAGCGCUGCACGUAAUGACGAGCACGAAUGCACGUAACAUGGAUGCGCGCGAUACAACUCGGCCCGGAUAUCGUAGUGGGCGCACAUGUGCAUCGGUGAUGUUUCGAGCUAGAACGAUUUCGGAGCGUCGAAUUACGCGGCACCGGGUGCACGUGCAGUAGGCGCCUAUUGCACAAAUCACACGCAUUAUUGACUACCUUUGUAUUUCUCCGGCCGACGCGCCAUUGUCCGUGUCACGUGCGUUUCCUUCUCUAAGUACCUACUAGCACAAAUAAACCGAGAAAAUUUGCUUUUUAUACUUAAAAUCAUCUGCAAUUUCAAUUAACGUUUUAGACAGUUCUCUUCGAUGGAAUAUAAAUCCACUUAGAUAUUGGACCAUCUAAACGAAAAUUAGUAUAAUGAUAGUAACAAAAAUCUCACAAAAGUAUUCGAGAUCUGUGUGUAAAAUUAAUGAACAUAGACUAUUGAAAUUAUUUCAGAAUACAAUUAAAGGUAUUAAAUUUUAAUACAUUUAAUGAAAAUCCAUAUGGAGCUACGUUUGUGUAGUUUUUAAUAAUUCACAAAAUAAUAAUCUCUAAUUACGUAAUUUUCAAAAUAAAGUACACAGCAGAGAUGUUGCAAGUUUCAAAGAAUUGGCGACCUUGUAAAGUGGCUCUCAAUGGAAAUGAACAUAUAUAGCGGAAGAUUCAGGGUGGUCAGUGAAAGUGGUCCAUGUCCCCAGUGGCCUCGAAAUCUCAACUAGAAACCUCGGUACCCAAGACUGGCGCCAGACUUGUCUGCAUCUGUUUGGAAGAUGAAGUAUCUGGCUGGCUUUUCCUGCCUCCAAAUCCGUUGAGAAGUGUUCGACCUGCAAACCGGCUUCCGUUCGACCCUCCAAAGACGAACACUCGAAGGGUACUCGAUCCAUCGACAAACCUAUCGUCCGACUUGCAAGUCACACAGAGAGACAGACAGCCGGUCGUGUUUUCUUUCGAACGAGAUCCUCGGGAGAGGGAAGUUUAUUUACGCGUAUCAAGCCUCCUGCCGUCUUUACGAUCGUCCACGAUAUGCUUCGUGUUAACCGGAUCUCUGUUAAUGGUUCAACGUGUUUUCACAGAGCAAACGGAAGCCUGCUGCCGCUCUUUACCAUUUGACAUUUAGAAACUGGGAAUUAUUAGCGAUGUGCUAUCAUUGCAAACGAUCGACUGUGAAUAAAGUUGUAUCUUGAAGUCGUCUUAGGCUGAAACUUUAAGUAUUUCAUUUCAUUUUUAGUUUAUUUGAUUAUCAAUGUGCGCUGGGAAAAUAUACGGACAAUACUAAAAUUUUAAAAAAUCAUUGAUCAAAUUGAAAUUAUUUCUUUGAAGUAAUUUUGGUGAUUAUUUUCAUUCAUCUAAGCUUCUAUGUAUAUAUACCUAAUACGCGUGAAUUCAAUUCCUUUGAUCGAAAUAUGAAGGAAAAAUAAAAUUACAAUUUGGAUGUUGAAGCCACUACUUAAUUGCUAAUUAAUUACGAGUUAAAUAUUUAUUUUAAUGGUUUAAUGGAUAUUUAAUACCUUGGUAUGUAGGUAUAACUCCACCUGCCACACAGGACUUUAUCAAAGAAAUAUGUAUGUAUAUAGAAAUUACAAGCUUGUAUAAAUCGAAGUUAAGAGCUGCCCUAACCUGUCUCAAACGAGACAGGGGCUUCCACGUCGACUUAAGAAAACUACCAGCCCUUCAUGGAUGUUUCGAGUGGCUCGACUCGAUCUGUCAUGUUUACACGAGAUCGUGUAUACCCGAUACAACCCCUCACUAAACUAGAUGAUGUUUGUUUAAAGUCCCCCAGCUCUUCUGCUAGAAUAGACGUCGAUUCAUCGCAUCUAAAGGUCCUCGUAAGCCUAAGUAAAUGAAAUUACUAGUUUGGAAGUACUAGCCAUUCCAGGUUUUCGACGAUGUCAGAUAUCUUAAUUUCUCAUUUGCAUCUUUUGAUUUCACUUUAUUAGAUUGCAAAAAAGGUUCGUAGAUUAGCUUUGGAUCGGUAAAAGAAAAUAUAAACUUAAGAAAAUACACGUGAGUACUGAUCGUCACAUUUACAAAGCACAGUAUAAAACCUUCACUCAAAAUUAAAUAUCUUGAAUUGAAAAGAAUGUUUUUUAUUCAGGAAGGAAUUACAAAUUUAAGAAAGAGACAAAAUCUCUGGUUAGGAUAUUUUACUAAAAAAAAAAAAAAGAAAUCAAAAUAGAAAU